UUUGGCUUCCCUGGGCUUGACAGUGACAGCUGCUUUGUCACCUCAGAUCCUCAGGAGCCCCUCUCACUACUUAAUCCUUAAUGCUUAGACAAAUAAGAGAGAUGUAGGAGCUACCAUUCAGGCUGCCCUGUCCGUACCGGCGUACCUUAUCACCGGCGCAGUGUGAAGCUGGCAGCACUUAGGGCUUUGCCUCCUCACCUAACAGUAAAAGAGGAAGUCAGACUUUUUCACACGAAGUAAAUGACAGCACUUCCGUGGCUGUGAUCUGAGUUUAUGAUCUGAGCUGUAACUGCUGUUUUUCACAUAAGUUUGCACUCCAAAAAGAAAUGAAAGCAUUCAUCCUUAUCUUGUACAUCUGCGCUGCAGUAUAAGCUGCUUUCCUUGAUGUCCUGAGUUGUUCUGCUCUUGUCAAAACUCUGGUAUUAUCACUUUGGACAGUUUAUAAGCCAUGGCUGAAGCAGGUGGAUAGCUGCGAAGCAGAAAUGGCCCUCCAAAGAUGCCACCUCCUUCCACUGCUGACAGUCUGAAGGCGCGAUCUGUGGUAUGCAAUGUGGGGUCUCAAGGAGCAAAUGACCUUGGAAUAGGAAACCGAGCGCCUGGCUUUGGCUGGAGGGAGACGGUUGUUGUGCCCCAAAGGAAAGAGCGAAGGAACUGAGUGCAGAGCAUCCUGCUGGGAGAGCUCAGGGACCAGAGAUCCAACGACCAGCUCCGUCACAGGCCAGCUUUGGAAGCAGUCGCUUAAACCAGAGGCUGAAGGCAGAGCUGGUGCCAGGCUGCCCAGCUCCCAGAUGCCCACACCGGCAGGCAGGGUGCCCUUGGAGGAGCCUGAGGAGUUAAACUGCACACCUAUUGUGAUGUGAAGCCCUGGGAUUUACAUGGCGUUAAUCUGGAGCUUUGCUUGGAGGGCGGCACAGGAUAUCUCUGGAAGGGUCGCCAUGGAAAACCCAGCCUGGCAAUGGCCACAUCUGAAGCGCUGAUCAGGCAGACGUCUGGAAGGGAAGCAGGGAGAUGAAGCUGGGCGUUCGGUGCUUGCAGCAGACCACUGAUGACUGCACGUCGUAGCUGGUAAAAGCCAUGACCUUUCCUUACCUGGAGCCCCAGUGAUAUAUCUCCUUCUUGCAUCACAGUUGAGCUCACUGGGAAAAUGGGUAGGCAGAAGAGCUAAGAGAUUUGUUAAUUCUCAUAGUACAAUAUGGGAACCCAUUAUGUUAUGUUCAUCCUACCUUUGCUGGUCGUUUGUUUUUUUAUUUGUUUGUAUGUUUUCCCCUCCCUGAAUUCUAGGUUUAGGGGGGGGAAAAAAAGGCAGGGGGAGAAAAACUCAUCAGACCUGCAUUAAAAAUUGUAAUCCUGACAACUGUAGCUCAACCACCUGCUUUCCAUGGAGGUAGCCAACCUCCAAGAGCCUUCAUUCUCCCCCUCACUUUAACUUUGUGCUGCCACCUCUGCGUCUGCCCAGAACUGAGCACGAGUUGUGACCAGGUUGAGAACUCCUUGACGUCUCCUGGUGCCGCAGCCUGAACGGGCUCUGGGGACAUCCGUGCGUGUUGCCAGACUGGCUUCCUUGGGUAGCCACCGCUCAGCCAUCACGUCCCCAGGGGCAGGGUGGAGUUCCCUUAUCGGGGAGUGCCAACUGCCACCAAAAAAAACCCCACAUCAGCCCUCCCAGCAGCUGGUGGUGUUUACGGAUUGUAUCCAGUGUUGGUUUGACGCAAGGUACAAAAAUAGAGCGUGCAGCAGGAACAAGCACCUUCCCCUUUGAGGAGA